CUACGGGUGGCUGCAGUGGGGAAUCUUAGACAAUGGGCGCAAGCCUGAUCUAGCCAUGCCGCGUGAGUGAUGAAGGCCUUAGGGUCGUAAAGCUCUUUCGCUGGGGAAGAUAAUGACGGUACCCAGUAAAGAAACCCCGACUAACUCCGUGCCAGCAGCCGCGGUAAUACGGAGGGGGUUAGCGUUGUUCGGAAUUACUGGGCGUAAAGCGCGCGUAGGCGGACUGUUAGGUCGGGGGUGAAAUCCCGGGGCUCAACCCCGGAACGGCCUUCGAUACUGGCAGUCUGGAGUUCGAGAGAGGUGAGUGGAAUUCCGAGUGUAGAGGUGAAAUUCGUAGAUAUUCGGAGGAACACCAGUGGCGAAGGCGGCUCACUGGCUCGAUACUGACGCUGAGGUGCGAAAGUGUGGGGAGCAAACAGGAUUAGAUACCCGUGUAGUC
rnacentral:rRNA from 1 species